rnacentral:rRNA from 1 species
CCUACGGGAGGCAGCAGUGGGGAAUUUUGGACAAUGGGCGAAAGCCUGAUCCAGCAAUGCCGCGUGAGUGAAGAAGGCCUUCGGGUUGUAAAGCUCUUUUGUCAGGGAAGAAACGGUGUGGGCUAAUAUCCCGCACUAAUGACGGUACCUGAAGAAUAAGCACCGGCUAACUACGUGCCAGCAGCCGCGGUAAUACGUAGGGUGCAAGCGUUAAUCGGAAUUACUGGGGCGUAAAGCGUGCGCAGGCGGUUUUGUAAGUUUGUCGUGAAAGCCCCGGGCUCAACCUGGGAAUUGCGAUGAAGACUGCAGGGCUUGAAUCUGGCAGAGGGGGGUAGAAUUCCACGUGUAGCAGUGAAAUGCGUAGAGAUGUGGAGGAACACCGAUGGCGAAGGCAGCCCCCUGGGUCAAGAUUGACGCUCAUGCACGAAAGCGUGGGGAGCAAACAGGAUUAGAUACCCUGGUAGUCCACGCCCUAAACGAUGUCUACUAGUUGUCGGGUUUUAAUUAACUUGGUAACGCAGCUAACGCGUGAAGUAGACCGCCUGGGGAGUACGGUCGCAAGAUUAAAACUCAAAUGAAUUGACGG